rnacentral:rRNA from 1 species
AGAGUUUGAUCCUGGCUCAGGAUGAACGCUGGCGGCGUGCUUAACACAUGCAAGUCGAGCGAAGCGCUAAGACGGAUUUCUUCGGAUUGAAGUCUUUGUGACUGAGCGGCGGACGGGUGAGUAACGCGUGGGUAACCUGCCUCAUACAGGGGGAUAACAGUUAGAAAUGACUGCUAAUACCGCAUAAGCGCACAGGACCGCAUGGUCCGGUGUGAAAAACUCCGGUGGUAUAAGAUGGACCCGCGUUGGAUUAGCUAGUUGGCAGGGUAACGGCCUACCAAGGCGACGAUCCAUAGCCGGCCUGAGAGGGUGAACGGCCACAUUGGGACUGAGACACGGCCCAGACUCCUACGGGAGGCAGCAGUGGGGAAUAUUGCACAAUGGGGGAAACCCUGAUGCAGCGACGCCGCGUGAAGGAAGAAGUAUCUCGGUAUGUAAACUUCUAUCAGCAGGGAAGAUAGUGACGGUACCUGACUAAGAAGCCCCGGCUAACUACGUGCCAGCAGCCGCGGUAAUACGUAGGGGGCAAGCGUUAUCCGGAUUUACUGGGUGUAAAGGGAGCGUAGACGGACUGGCAAGUCUGAUGUGAAAGGCGGGGGCUCAACCCCUGGACUGCAUUGGAAACUGUUAGUCUUGAGUGCCGGAGAGGUAAGCGGAAUUCCUAGUGUAGCGGUGAAAUGCGUAGAUAUUAGGAGGAACACCAGUGGCGAAGGCGGCUUACUGGACGGUAACUGACGUUGAGGCUCGAAAGCGUGGGGAGUAAACAGGAUUAGAUACCCUGGUAGUCCACGCCGUAAACGAUGAA